CUUUACAGCCCAAGAAAUCCAGAGAAGUUCCUUAUGUUUUCAUUGUUGAUCAGAAUCAGAUUUUUAUGCUCAAUUAAAAUACUUUAUUAUUUAUCUAAUGUGGUUCAUUUGGAAGUUAAUAAUUUCAGGAAAUAGUUAUUAAGACUCAGAAAAAGAUCACUGGAUUAUAUGUAGAUGCAUAUUGCUUCCAUUAAUAUUAAAAGCAAUUAGGUAGAUCCCUCCCUGACAUUGAGAUGAGAAUGGGCUCCUAAAUAAAACAGUAAAACAGAUUUGAUUAAUUUACAUUUAGCCGUAGUUAUUGUUACUGAUUUACUCCAAUAAGUUUCUGAAAGAUUCAGAUUUG
rnacentral:lncRNA from 1 species